rnacentral:rRNA from 1 species
UACGAAGGGGGCUAGCGUUGUUCGGAAUUACUGGGCGUAAAGCGCACGUAGGCGGAUAUUUAAGUCAGGGGUGAAAUCCCAGAGCUCAACCCUGGAACUGCCUUUGAUACUGGGUAUCUCGAGUAUGGAAGAGGUGAGUGGAAUUCCGAGUGUAGAGGUGAAAUUCGUAGAUAUUCGGAGGAACACCAGUGGCGAAGGCGGCUCACUGGUCCAUUACUGACGCUGAGGUGCGAAAGCGUGGGGAGCAAACAGG